ACCUGCUAUACACUUCUACCACAACAGGUAGGUAGGUAGAGACCCGCUAUACACUUCUACCACAACAGGUAGGUAGGUAGAGACCUGCUAUACACUUCUACCACAACAGGUAGGUAGAGACCUGCUAUACACUUCUACCACAACAGGUAGGUAGAGACCUGCUAUACACUUCUACCACAACAGGUAGGUAGGUAGAGACCUGCUAUACACUUCUACCACAACAGGUAGGGACUAUACACUUCUACCACAACAGGUAGGUAGAGACCUGCUAUACACUUCUACCACAACAGGUAGGUAGGUAGAGACCCGCUAUACACUUCUACCACAACAGGUAGGUAGGUAGAGACCUGCUAUACACUUCUACCACAACAGGUAGGGACUAUACACUUCUACCACAACAGGUAGGUAGGUAGAGACCUGCUAUACACUUCUACCACAACAGGUAGGUAGAGACCUGCUAUACACUUCUACCACAACAGGUAGGUAGAGACCUGCUAUACACUUCUACCACAACAGGUAGGUAGAGACCUGCUAUACACUUCUACCACAACAGGUAGGUAGGUAGAGACCUGCUAUACACUUCUACCACAACAGGUAGGUAGGUAGAGACCUGCUAUACACUUCUACCACAACAGGUAGGUAGGUAGAGACCUGCUAUACACUUCUACCACAACAGGUAGGUAGAGACCUGCUAUACACUUCUACCACAACAGGUAGGUAGGUAGAGACCUGCUAUACACUUCUACCACAACAGGUAGGUAGGUAGAUACCUGCUAUACACUUCUACCACAACAGGUAGGUAGGUAGAGACCUGCUAUACACUUCUACCACAACAGGUAGGUAGGUAGAGACCUGCUAUACACUUCUACCACAACAGGUAGGUAGGUAGAGACCUGCUAUACACUUCUACCACAACAGGUAGGUAGAGACCUGCUAUACACUUCUACCACAACAGGUAGGUAGGUAGAGACCUGCUAUACACUUCUACCACAACAGGUAGGUAGGUAGAGACCUGCUAUACACUUC